rnacentral:rRNA from 1 species
UGAAUACGAGACGCUACGGCGUCGAAGCAGUCUAUGUCAUACUUCCAAGAAAAGCUUGCACUGUCAUAAACAAAUUAUGCCUGUACCAUAACCGACACAGGUGGGUAGGUAGAGUAUACUAAGGGGCGCGAGAUAACUCUCUCUAAGGAACUCGGCAAAAUGACUCCGUAACUUCGGGAGAAGGAGUGCCUUAUUCGUAAGGUUGCAAUAACAAGAUCCGAGCAACUGUUUAUCAAAAACACAGGUCUCCGCUAAGUCGUAAGACGAUGUAUGGGGGCUGACGCCUGCCCAGUGCCAGAAGGUUAAAGAAGUUGGUUAGCAUUUGCGAAGCUGAUAACUGAAGCCCUGGUGAACGGCGGCCGUAACGAUAACGGUCCUAAGGUAGCGAAAUUCCUUGUCGGUUAAGUUCCGACCCGCACGAAAGGCGUAAUGAUUUGGAUACUGUCUCGGAGAGGGGCUCGGUGAAAUAGACUUGUCUGUGAAGAUGCGGACUACCUGCACCUGGACGGAAAGACCCUAUGAAGCUUUACUGUAACUUGAAAUUGAAAUUGGACUUUAUAUGCGCAGUAUAGGUGGGAGGCAUUGAAGAUAUUCUUGCGGGAAGAUUGGAGCCAUCAGUGAGAUACCACUCUUGUAAUGUUAGAUUUCUAACUUUGGAUCAUGGUCUGGUCAAAGAACAGUUUCAGGCGGGCAGUUUGACUGGGGCGGUCGCCUCCCAAAUGGUAACGGAGGCGCACAAAGGUUUCCUCUGAACGGGUAGAAAUCGUAUCUAGAGUGUAAAGGCAUAAGGAAGCUUGACUGUGAGACCUACAAGUCGAGCAGGGACGAAAGUCGGUCUUAGUGAUCUGACGGUGCUGAGUGGGAAGGCCGUCACUCAACGGAUAAAAGUUACUCUAAGGAUAACAGGCUGAUCUCCCCCAAGAGUUCACAUCGACGGGGAGGUUUGGCACCUCGAUGUCGGCUCAUCGCAUCCUGGGGCGGUAGUACGUCCCAAGGGUUGGGCUGUUCGCCCAUGAAAGCGGUACGCGAGCUGGGUUCAGAACGUCGUGAGACAGUUCGGUCCAUAUCCGGUGUAGGCGUUAGAAUAUUGAGAGGAGCCUUCUUUAGUACGAGAGGACCGAGAAGGACAUACCUCUGGUGUACCAGUUAUCGUGCCAACGGUAAACGCUGGGUAGCUAUGUAUGGAGAGGAUAACCGCUGAAAGCAUCUAAGUGGGAAGCCCACCUCAAGAUAAG